rnacentral:rRNA from 1 species
UACGGAGGGUGCAAGCGUUAUCCGGAUUCACUGGGUUUAAAGGGUGCGUAGGAGGGCAGGUAAGUCAGUGGUGAAAUCUCCGAGCUUAACUUGGAAACUGCCGUUGAUACUAUCUGUCUUGAAUACCGUGGAGGUUAGCGGAAUAUGUCAUGUAGCGGUGAAAUGCUUAGAUAUGACAUAGAACACCAAUUGCGAAGGCAGCUGGCUACACGAAUAUUGACACUGAUGCACGAAAGCGUGGGGAUCAAACAGG